AGGCGAGCCCUCUCUCUUCACCUAUUUUACUCUCUCCCUCGCACUGCUAUCCUUAUGUUGCGAUUCUUUAUCGAGUCACGUGUCCUAUUCCACUUGUUACCAUAAUAAUCCUAUAUGUAUCAUUCCCUACCCAUAGCCGUUGCUUGAUGUUUGAGCCUUGCGAGUCGUAGGCGUGUUUAGGCUUUGUUGUUUAUCUCGAUCUGUUAUCGGGAUAUGUUGGGUUGUUGGGAGGUUAUCACAUGCUAUAUCAGUUGUUGUAGAUACACAUGCUCUAUUUAAUUGUUAACAACUAAAAUUGUAAGCAGAGGCAUCUGUGAGCCCCUUUGCGAAAGCAUCGGAACUUUGACUCGCUAAUGUCCCCUAGGACCCGAGUUCUUGUUAUCUGUUCCGAGAUUGAGCGCUCUACCCAUGCGUGGGAACGAUUAUUGGGACCCCCCCUCACCCAUUACCUUUUCUCAAGUCAGUUGAAAAGGGGGCCACAACCUUGGUUUUAUUUGCCUAUGCCAUGUAUGCCAUGCUUUACUUACUGUUGCCUUCGGGUGUUUACUUCCUGUUGCCUUCGGGUGUUUAUAUUCUGUACUGUACCUUGCGGGACGUUUAGCGAAGUGUGUGGUUUGCACGCCUAGCCGCCGGCGCAAACCCUGAGUCCGUCUCGGAGUACGGCCGGACUUCGUCACGGGUAGCUUAGUCGGGUGGCCCCCCUAGACUUUCUUGUUGAACUAGGAACGGUCUUGUUGUGAGACAUCGCCUGUAAGAAGCGGGUCGAGCAUGCGUAUGGUUACAUUUGGGCAACCCCUGCAGGGUGUACAUCUUAUCGAUAAGCCGUGUCCACGGUUAUGGACGACUUGGAAUUGUAUAGAUUGAUCAUAGAACAACUUACACUGUCAUCUUGUUGCUAAUAAUUUGCUAAUAACUUGCGUAGUAAUAUAGCAUUACCACAACCGAUACCUAAUAAAACUUGUCCACCAUUGAGUGCCUUUUACAUUGCCUCUUCGCAAUUGUUGAAGGGGAUAUGCGUAUUUGGCUGGGUUAUGUUUGUGUAGUAUUUAUCUGUUACCUUGUGCGCUCUCUUAUCUUAUCUGAGUAGACGGAUGUUGUAGCGUGUCUCUAUUGGUUAUAGUUUUGCUGCCGCUAAACCUACCAUAUAGCCCCAGGCGAUAUAUAUAUAUUCACCUGGCGAGCAUAGCCAUUUCUAGUCUCGCUAAGUACGUGCCGGAGUUCGUUCCUUGGUACUUACUCUCGCCUUUUCUCUUUCUCUUCUGUUUCCUCCCUUUUGUCGGCAACCGAUGGCCCGACUUCGACAGGUACAAGAUGACGACGUUAGCAAGGUUACCCUUCCGGCUUGGCCUGGGCAGGGUUAUGGACGCCACUGGUUAUCUUCAGGACUCUUAGUCCAAUUUGUAUCUUGUCCGUACUCGGACGUAUUUGAUCUUCUGUAUGAUUUGGAUCUUUGUAUUGUAUAUUUGUAUCUUGACUCGUUGGAGUCGUUGUUGUAAUAUAUGUUUCUUGUGGGCUCUAUUGUAAUCCUGUUGUAAUGUUA